rnacentral:lncRNA from 1 species
UCGUUGAUUCCUUUUUCUGCAUCCUUUUCCUGAUUUACAAAACCCGAUUUGGUGUUCCUAGAAUGAUUUAAUGAAAGUUAACAUCAAAGUUUGGUUUUUUCUUCACCGAGUGCUUUUUCUUUGUUGGUUUAGGAUUCUCACUGCAUCUCACAAGCUUCUAACAAGUAUGAAAUACCAUUCUUUUCUGAUUUUGUCUUUUUGAUUCUUCCAUUUUAAACCUCUC